rnacentral:tRNA from 1 species
GAGGGUAUAGCUCAUUGAUAGAGCGCAUACUUAGCAUGUAUGAGGUCCUGGUUCAGCCCCCAGGACCUCCA